rnacentral:rRNA from 1 species
AUUGAACGCUGGCGGCAGGCCUAACACAUGCAAGUCGAGCGGUAGAGAGGUGCUUGCAUCUCUUGAGAGCGGCGGACGGGUGAGUAAUGCCUAGGAAUCUGCCUGGUGGUGGGGGGAUAACGUUCGGAAACGGACGCUAAUACCGCAUACGUCCUACGGGAGAAAGCGGGGGAUCUUCGGACCUCGCGCCAUUAGAUGAGCCUAGGUCGGAUUAGCUAGUUGGUGAGGUAAUGGCUCACCAAGGCGACGAUCCGUAACUGGUCUGAGAGGAUGAUCAGUCACACUGGAACUGAGACACGGUCCAGACUCCUACGGGAGGCAGCAGUGGGGGAAUAUUGGACAAUGGCGAAGCCUGAUCCAGCCAUGCCGCGUGUGUG